rnacentral:lncRNA from 1 species
UAAGCAUCUUUAUGUGGACAGUUCAAAAAAUCAUGAUUUGUCAAGCUGCAAAUGCUGCAGGCAGCUUGUAAAGGCUGCUGUACAGCAACCUGUGAAUCUGAAAUUCUUUGUAAUAACAUGUCAAAUUUUGCAUCAAAUCUUUCAAGCUUUUUCUCCAUUUUUUCAAUUUGUGCCGACACGUAUGGUGAACCAUUUGACAUCUCAAAAAC